UACGGAGGGUGCAAGCGUUAUCCGGAAUCAUUGGGUUUAAAGGGUCCGUAGGCGGUUUUGUAAGUCAGUGGUGAAAGCCCAUCGCUCAACGGUGGAACGGCCAUUGAUACUGCAAGACUUGAAUUAUUGGGAAGUAACUAGAAUAUGUAGUGUAGCGGUGAAAUGCUUAGAGAUUACAUGGAAUACCAAUUGCGAAGGCAGGUUACUACCAAUAUAUUGACGCUGAUGGACGAAAGCGUGGGGAGCGAACAGG
rnacentral:rRNA from 1 species